GAGACUGCAUGCCCACUGAUGUAUGAAGCAAGGGCCUAUCUCCCACCAAGGCCCGAUUCAGAAGAUGAUCAGUCAUUAGAGAGACAUAGACAGUGGCUUGUUCUACAGUGGAUGAAAAAAGAUCCAGAGUUAGAUAAGGUUCAGGAUAUAUUUCUGUUCUUACACACUGAACAGCAUGCUGUUACUAGAGACGUGCCCCAAAUUUUUUUUUACAUUUACGGCAGUCACCGAACCCUUCUCCAUGACAUAAAUGGAGUGGGCAAGAAGAGGGCCUGGAGUAGCGUGCGGGACCUGCCGGGUCGAGCCGAGGGCGCUAAUUAGUGAGGCUGGUGACGCGGGGUGGGGCGAGCUACAGUGAAACAAUGCCGGGUUUAUCAAGGACUGAGCCGGACUUGUCAUUAACUGGCUCUAAAUACUUGUGUUCCUUUGUGAGCGAGGCGGACCGUUCAGGCCGAGCUUCGCGUUUACUUUGUCCUGACUGUCUGCCUGCCUGCCUGCCUGGCUGUCUGCCGCUUUCUCACUCAAUGCUGACUUCCUACUGAUGCUGUAAUAAAUGAAUAAAUAAGUAAAGUUUA